rnacentral:lncRNA from 1 species
AGACGAGCGGCCUUAUCAAGGAUCUACUUCCUCCCGGGUCACUUGACAGCUCAACCAGGCUCAUCUUUACGAAUGCAUUGUACUUCAAGGGAGCUUGGAAUGAGAAAUUUGAUGCAUCAGCUACAAAAGAGCAUGACUUCCACCUUCUCGACGGGAGCACAGUUAAGGCGCCCUUCAUGACCAGCAAGAACAAGCAGUAUGUAAGUGCCUUUGACGGUUUCUCAGUCUUAGGGCUUCCUUACAGACAAGGUGAAGACAAGCGGCGCUUCUCCAUGCACAUCUUUCUUCCACAGGCGAAAGAUGGGCUGCCAGCUUUGGUUGAGAAACUUGGCUCUGAGUCCGGGUUUUUAGAUCGCUAUCUUCCCAAACAACCAGUUGCAGUGGGCGACUUCAGAAUCCCAAAGUUUAAGAUCUCAUUUGGGUUUGAAGCUUCCAAUGUCCUAAAGAGUCUGGGACUGGUGCUGCCUUUCGAGGGUGAAGGAGGUCUGACAGAGAUGGUGGACUCGCCCGAGGGUAAGAAGCUAUAUGUUUCUAGCAUAUUCCACAAGUCGUUCAUCGAAGUGAAUGAAGAAGGCACAGAAGCUGCAGCUGCUUCUGCCGGCGUUAUAAGUGAGAGGAGGAUGCCCAUGACAUUUGUGGCUGAUCGUCCAUUCCUCUUCACGAUCAGGGAAGAAACGACCGGAACAGUUCUGUUCAUCGGUAACCUGCUCAACCCUCUUGCCGGCUGAGUGUUACAACCCCCUGGGAAAGGGCAUCAGAUGUACGUAGAAUAAUACGCGCGAGACUGUAGUAAAUAAAAUGUAUGAUCCUUGUAUACAUGUACUAUGUUUGGUUAUUACCUAAUCACCCUGUACUUGCAGCAGUUGGUCUUGUUUCUCCCAUGUGGCGAUUUUUGUUUGUUCUCCCAUGGCGUUUAUCCAUGUGUAGAAUCUUGAUUCUGAAUACUUAUUUUAUGAUGUACUCUGUUUGAACAAUAAAAGUUUUAGCCGACUGCAAACGUCGGUUAGUGUUAAAGUAUUUAAUAUAUAGAAUGGACGAGUGCUAGUGUUGUACCAUACACAUGGUUGGUGAUGAAAAAGAUUAAACUUUGAAUAUUCUAUAAAAUAUUAUUUAACUUGGGACGAGGAUCUUCUUUGUGAGGAUCUUAUGAAUUAAUUUAUCUUAACGGUUCAUUGUACAUCGUGUGACCAUCUUUCAUUAGAUACUUUUUGUGUUAAAUUUUAAAUAAAUUCAAAAUAAUUUUUGGCUGCAGGAUGAUUGAUAAACAGAUAUGAUGCAUUGAUUCCUAAAGUCCUCACAAAGAGAAUCCGGAUGUUUAUAGUCCUCCAUGACUGGAGAUGGCCUAAGAUGCUAAACACUUAACACUACCCAAUUUUUCCAGUUAGUUAAAUUUUCACAAUUAGUGUAUUAAAUUGCUUAAGAAAUGUUAUCAGCACUCUAAAAUAAUUGACCAUAUUUUCUUGACUCUUUUGUUAAAUUGCAUGAAGAUUUUUUUGGAUAGUCAAUAAUAUCUCCCAAUUGCUUAACAUAGAAUUAAAUAGAGUAUCGCUAACUAGAGCAUGAUAUGUUUCUGUGUCUUUGAUGCCCUUUGCUCGAGAAAAUUUAGUAUAGGGUUUUCAUCACAAAUGGUCCCUGACAUUGAUCAAACACAUCAUUUUGGUCCCUGACAUUGAAAAUCAAUAGAAAUGGUCCCUGACAUUGAUCAAACACAUCAUUUUGGUCCCUGACAUUGAAAAUCAAUAGAAAUGGUCCCUGACAUUGAUCAAACACAUCACAAAUAGUCCUUCCGUUAAAAACGUUUUGGGCAAUUUUCAAAGCUUUGUAACUCAAUCGUUUCUUAACCAAAUUCGACCCAUAAUAUAUCAAAAUGAAGAUAGGAAAGUGUAGAACAAGAUUAUACCUAUUUGGAAACCCAAUGGUUGCCGGAGAUGGCCGGAAAACAGCCUCAAAUGUGACUGGUCCGCGAAAAAACUGGAAAACUCGCCUGAAAUGGGGUAAACUUUAAACAUUCAUAACUUCUUCAAUAAUCAACGAAAUCGAGUGAUUCAAAAAUGAAAAUCAUACUUCUCGACGAGACUAAGAGAAUGGUAGCUUUCUUGAUGGCUAACUCAUUGUAGUUUGGCCGGAAAAUGACUCGAAAUUGGCUAACUCGAAAAUGGUUAUCCAAGUUCGAGCCAUUUUCCGGUCAAACCACGGUAAAUUAGUAGUCAAUAAAGAUACCAUUAUCUUUCUCUCAUUGAGAAGUAUGAUUUUCAUUUUUGAAUCACUCAAUUUCAUUGAGUAUUGAAGAAGUUAUGAAUGUUUAAAGUUUACCCCAUUUCAGGCGAGUUUUUCAGUUUUUUCGCGGACCAGUCACAUUUGAGGCUGUUUUCCGGCCAUCUCCGGCAACCAUUGGGUUUCUAAAUAGGUAUAAUCUUGUUCUACACUUUCCUAUCUUCAUUUUGAUAUAUCAUGGGUCGAAUUUGGUUAAGAAACGAUUGAGUUACGAAGCUUUGAAAAUUGCCCAAAACGUUUUUAACGGAAGGACCAUUUGUGAUGUGUUUGAUCAAUGUCAGGGACCAUUUCUAUUGAUUUUCAAUGUCAGGGACCAAAAUGAUGUGUUUGAUCAAUGUCAGGGAUCAUUUGUGAUGAAAACCCUUUAGUAUAUGAACGACAAACUACGUGUUAUUACGGCCACAGACGAUAAUCCAGACUAUUUGUUUAAUACUUAAGCUUACUUGUGGUCCCAUUAUGUAAAAAAAUUUUGCAUUAGUCUGCACACAAGAAAUUUUUUAUUGGUUUCAGUUGAGCUCAAAUAAUAAUAAUCUGUUCGUGUAAAAGUUAAAAUUUAUCUUAUUAUGUAAUUGAUUUAAAAUACCGUAAAUACUGAUUUAAAAUUAUCUCAUUGUCAGCUUGUGUGUCAUUCUCGUAGAAUUUGGAAUUAUUCACAUUGUUUAGUAACGUAGGAUAUUUCAAGAAGCAUUUUUGCUCACUAUCAUUUAGUGUAAUGUAUAUUCAUCAUUCUAUUUAUCAUCGUUAGAUGAGUUUGAAUUUUAAGAUCCGUGUAGUGGAUAGACACAAAUUUCAAAAUUCAAUCUCAUCUAACGAUAAUAAAUAUGAUGAUGAACAUAAAUCAAAUAAAUGAUGAUGAAAAAAAAUACAUAGAUAUUUCAGUACAUGAAAACGUCACGUUAAUGAAAGGAGCUGGAGCGCCUGCUGCUGACCUCGGUCAAACAGACGGUGUGGGUUUCACGUGGCUGGCGCGAAAUCUAAACCGUUAAUUUAAUGUUAGUUAUCUCUCCCCUUGUCACGACUCCCAUGUAAUGCUGUAAAGUCACAAGCACCCAUCGUUUGGUUCUAAUAUUACAACAGUACCGCCCAUGGAAACACAAUCUUAAGCAAUCUCUAAUACUCAUAAUGUUGUUGAAGUUUUGCACUAAUAAUAGUUGCUAAACAGUGAUUAGACAGUCAGAUAAGAGACAGGGUUUAUGAUGUGAUUUGGACGUCCCAUCCUUUGCCACUUAAAAUGUCUUACCUACCAAACAUAUCUUGAAAAAUAAUUUAGCUUGGUACGAAGAAUCACAAUUUUUGUUUAUAAUUGACGAAAUCAAUCAAUGCAUGUUUUUUAUCAAAUCAAUAUUUAUUGGGAUAUUCAUCCUUAAAAUCUUCAUUUUGUUAUAAAACAACAAUAUAUUUAUUAUUUUUAAAAUUUUGUAAUACGUUUAUUUAAGUAGUGACUUUGAACGUUUUAAAAUUGAAAAAUCAAUAUUUAAAUGCAAAGUUGUCCGUUUUGAAUAAUCUCUAACAAUAUUUUCCUUCUCGUAAAUGAGUAAGAUUGGUUUAUUUUGUACACAAUUAGAUAUUGAGAGUUGAAAUUCUAAAUACUAAGUUCUUCUUAACAUAUUUUCGUAACCAUUUAAGAUGUUUGUAUAUUCGAAGAAUAUGGAAAAAUUGAAUCAACCCAGAUUAUUAUUAUGGCUGUCGACAUCUUUUAUCAGAGGAUAGCCAUCAAGUCACACCGCAUAUCCAGAAAGAGAAAUCCAUCCAAAAAAUAGGAAAACGAAAUGACAUUCCUUAUUUUCCUCCAUGGACGUCCCUUCUCUCCCCACCACGAAGGUCCCAGCUGAAAAGAAACGGAUGGCACAAUCGUGAUUAUCACAAACAGGAAUGUCAAAUUGUAGCAAGAGCAUGGUCAGCGCCGUUACAAAUAAGUGGAAGUUCCUCGGAAGAGUAAGAGAACGCGACAAUCAUAACGUAAUCUAUCUCUUCACUUUCUCAAUCCUUUUCUAUCUUUUUUUUCUUUCUGGGUUCCUUGUACUUCUCAUAAAUAUUAAGAGUUUAAUUCAAAAGAAAGGAACUUUCUCUUUCAUUGCUUACAUUUUUUUUUUCAGAUUAUUUACUUUCCCUUCCUUGCAGUUGCUUGGAAGAAACCAAGCUCAGAAGACCUUUGUUUUUUGAGAAUUCAGUUCAAUCCGUUUAUAUAUAUAUAUAUAUAUGGUGUUGAUGAUUUACCAGAAGUGAUAGUGCUUCAACCGAGAAGAAGAAGCUUUUAGUCUUCAGAAAUUCAGAGAAAAGAUAAGGAAGUGGAAGAGUGAAGGAAAAGCAAAUCAAAAGAUGGGAGAAACUGCUCCUCAUCCUCCACCACAGGUGGUUGCUCGGCCGUCUCAGAUGCCUCUUGGGGCAGCGAAGGGUCCCCAUUUGGACUCCAACUGAGCAGCUCCACAACCUUCAGUAUUGCAUCCACUCCAACCCCUCUUAGCGUUAGUCUCUCUCUGUUUCUGUUAAUUUCUUCGUUCUGGGUUUUAUAUUUUUUGAGUAAAAAGCUGAUUAAAGUUGUGCUAUUUUAAUGGGUUGGUUUAAAAGUUGAAGCUUUUGGCACUACUUCUUAUUUAGUUUACUAGUUUGCUUUUUAUUCCUAAUUUUGCAAAUUACUUUUACUAUUUUUGUUUCGGAUUCUCUAAUUUAUUGUGUUCGAAUCUUUUUAAGUACUGUAAUUAGUUCUAAUAAAAUAAUAAGCAUAUGUUCCAUUACCAGUUUCAACUUAUCCUGCUUACAAGACAUCGAUAUCACUCGAAAAUGUUUAGGAAGUGUAAACGUAAAUUUCCCAUGUUUAUCAAAUGCAACAAACUGCUUCUAAUGGAUCGAAUUUUACAGCGGAAACAUUCGUACUCGCUUUUCAGCACUAUAUUGUGAUGCUCGGAUCCAUAGUUAUAAUUGCCACUAGUUUCGUGCCUCGGAUGGGUGGGGAUCAUGUAAGUUAUGUCCUCUAUACAGUAAAGUUUAUAAUAUGCCGGUUAAGAUUAGCGAUCACACACGUAGCUUUGAAUCCGUGAUGUUAAUGUUUGGGUUUUGUUCUCCCUUUGUGAUCAGGGUGACAAGGCACGCGUGAUUCAGACGAUGCUGUUUAUGGCAGCAAUAAACACUUUGAUCCAAACAUUCACGGGACAAGGCUUCCAACAGUGAUGACUUCGUCAUUCGCUUUUACCCUUCCGGUGAUGUCAAUCAUCAAUGAUUAUUCUGAUCGGAAUUUUAGAAGUGAACAUGAGGUAUGUAAAGUUUGAAACAUGUUAUUCAUAGAGGAUUUAACAUCACAUUAAUUUACUUCUUAAAUUGCUUUAAGAAAUUUCAGUUAUAGACUUUGAGAUGAAAAAUACGUGGUGCAAAAAACGUGUAAACCUUACAUACCUGUAGAAGACGUCAUGAUGAAUUUCUGGUUUUGAGGACGGAAUAGAUUGAAGCACGUCCAUGCACUGUUGCGUCAUAUGCAACAAACUGAUGGGGAGUUCUAGGGUUGUGGCAUUAGCAAUGUGACAGGGACCUCAAACUUACAUAGGCCUCACGUCCCUAGAACCCUACCCACUAAUGGAGACUAGAAACUCUUAUGAUCCUCUAACGAGAAUAAUAAAGCCAAUGGAAAUGUUAGCACACAAUUGUUGUACAUAUAACAGACUUCGAGCAAUUUUUGGAACACGUAAAACAUUGUUAAGAAUAAGAUCAUGAGUAUUGGUUUUAAUGGUUGUUGCAUCAAUAUUCUUAAUGGAUAAACCUGUUCCAUUUCCAACUGUGAUUUUAUCAAAACCUUGGAAUGGUGUAACUUGAUUCAAUGUGGUGGCAUCAGCAGUGAUAUGAUGAGAUGCACCAGUAUCAACAAUCCAUGCAUCAUGAGGAAUAUAUUGUUCUAUCUGCUGUGUUGCCAUAGCUGUUAAGUUUGCAGGUGGUUGUUGGCCUUGAAAAACAUAAUUCCCUUUGUGAUAACAUUCAAGAGCUGAGUGACCUUUUUUUCCCACAAAUCUGACACUCCAUUUGAAAUCUAGUAUUUGGUGUAGUAGCAUUUCUGUGAAAACAAUUGACUGCAGUAUGCCCUUUCUUGUUGCAGAUUUGGCACUCAAUCACUGUUGUUGACCUGCUCUCUGUGUUUCCAUUCCACACAUUUGAACCAUUUGACCUUGAAUUGCCAUACGAAAAAUCAGAAGAGUUUCCUAUGUUGUAACCCUUGCUUUUGAAUCCACCAUUUGUCUUGUAAUUAUUGUUACCCUUGUAGUUUGAACCACCAAAAGGUUUCUGCAUGAAAUGAGGUAUUGGACCAGAAUUUGAUGCAUUAGCCAUAAACCCAAAACCAUAGGGAACUUGAGGAUAAACUGGACCAGGAAAUUGCGGAGACAUAGGAGGUUGAGGCAUAUGAGGUUGCUGUGGAUAUUGUUGUGGCAAGACAAAUGGCUGUGGUUAUUGUGGCUGUGGAUAUUGUUGUGGAUAUUGCUGUGGUAAAACAAAUGGCUCAGCAGAAUAUGGAUAUGGAUUAGGAGUUAUAACACCACCAGUGGUUGCAGGUAAAUGACUAUGCCCUGCAGGAUUAGACCCUGAAGCAAAUGAAUUUCCCUGAGUUGACUAAGAACCCUAAACAUAUAAGGCAGAUAGACUUUGAGACCCAACACUUGUGUCUCAUUCAAUCUCUUUUUCAGCUCUAAAUUUUUUCAAGGAAAUGGAUGAUUCUUUGCCAUAUAUCACAGUUCGAAUAGUUGCAUACUCCUUCGGCAAACCAGCUAAACCAGCAAUUAUAACAUCAUUAUCAGAAAUGAACUCUCCAGUAGCAGUUAAUUGUUCUCUUAUACUCUUCAAUCUUAACAGAUAUUUAUCCAUCAAAUCUCCUCAUUUUUGAAUGGUGUACAACUCAAUUUUUAAAUGAUUUACCCUAGUUUUAGACACUGAAGCAAAUCUAUCCACAAGAUUCGACCAAGCCUCACAAGCAGUUAAACAUCCAAGAACAUAUUUAAUAGCCUCAUCAAACAAAGUAGCUAGUAAAAGACUUAGUAAUGGAUAUGUGGAUUCCCAUUCAACAUAUUCAGCAAGUUCAGAAGUAACUCCUCUCUUAGUAUCUAUUACAAAUUUUUGUGGACAACCAAUAGUGCCAUCAAAAUGCCCAAACAAUUUAUGACCUUUCAACACAUAUUUGAACUGAAAAGCCCAUUUCACAAAAUUAUCAUCCUUCAACUUUAUUGUGAUCAUUCCCAGUUUCAACUUUAACACUUGAAGUAGUCAUGAUUUCUUGAUCGAACACAUAGAAUUUGCAAAUAACAAACAAACACCCAAAAAUUUCUGAUAUACGUAUUGAAAGGAAAGACUGAAACUUUCUCACAACCCAAGCAAGACUGAAACUCGCUUAAUACUCAGGAAAAACUGAAACUUUCUUGAUGAAUCUUGCACACAAAUACAACACACAAUUCCAAUUCGGAAAAGAAAACACAAAAUCUUCUAAUCAGGACUGAAACCCAAUUACUCAACAGAAAUUCACACUAUCACUUGAAUUGCAGCUGUGAUUGCAGCCACAAAUAGCCAGAAUACCAACCGCCAGAAAGAACAACAAGGAUCUGCAAUCGCCAGAACUUUUGAACAAACCCGUUGAAAAGACCUUUCAGAAUCCUUGAACUGGAUAGCAGCGAAAGAACUAGGAUCGAAAACGGUAGUGAACCAUGGUCAGCGAUGAUACCAUAUUAACAGUGUUGAAUUGUGGCCAAGUGGCCAUCACCUUUCGGCUAAUAAACAAACAAAGAAAAGAAAAAGAAAGACAAAAUGAUGAGGAAACAUCAUGAUGAGGAGGCAUCAUGAUUAUGCUUUCUUGUAGUUUUUUAAUAACCAUAAUUAUUGUUUUUGUUUCGGGUAGAAGAGAAGAAAGGGAGAGCUCAUUUUUUAGAAGAAAGCAUAUUAAAGAGAGAAGAGGAGAGAGAGAAGGUAGAGCCUUUUGGUUAUAAAAGGCAUUCGAUUAUGCCUUUGGAUGUGGGAGGGGGGGGAGCGGCAGAUGAGAGAGCACAGGGAGAGCAUUCGGCUCUCCCAUUUGAAUAUGAGCUGCUCCUUCCCACCAUUUGUAAUAAUCCCAUUUUGUUAGUAAUCACUCAAUCAAAGAUGUUGGUGCUACUUGUGUAGCUUUUGGGAGAGAAGGAUUUUGAUAUGUGUUUCUUCUUCUCCAUUUGUUUCUUAGUUUGAGUGAGAGCUAUUGGGUGUAUGUGGGAUUUGGGUUUGAGUGUUGAACUCUAUUUGUAAUCUCCUUUUGAUAUUAAUGGAAUUUCCUCGCCGUCUCGGAACUGGAUGUAGGCUUACGCCAAACCAGUAUAAAAAUCCUUGUGUCUUUUGGAUUAUUUGUCUUGUCAUAUUUUGCCGUUAUUAGCUUUGAUUUCAUAUUUGAAGCUUCCGCACAACAAGUGGUAUCAAAGCUCCGGGUUUCGACUUGGAGGCUUUGUACUAGUAUGUCUAUGAAAUCUUCAAAUGACGGUGAAAUAUGUUUUUUGGAAAAAUUCGACUGGAGGAAUGACUUUGGCAUUUGGUCAAUUGGAGAUGCAGAGUUUGGCUGCAAAAUGCGUGGCGUUGAAGAAGGAUAGUAAGGGACUAUGCUGCAGUCAUUGAGCUUGCAGAUUGGAGAAUGGUUUCGGAAACAGCGUGUCUGCUGCAAUGUUGCCGUCGAUGUUGUUGAAGUGUUGGUGUUCGACAGCUGCAGAUGUAGUGUACUGCUUUUGGUGGGUUCUCUGUUGGUCAUCGCUGCACCGGAGGUGUUUGUGGGCUGUUGUCGACGAGUUGAGUGGGAAGGAGAAAAGGUAGAAGCAGUUGAAAAUUGAAAAGAAAAUGUUGGUUCUUUUUCUUUCGGCAUUUGUUUUGGCAGAAGGACAUCAUGAUGACAAAUGAUGUUGUUGGCUGGAAGAAAAGGGAAAAAGGCUAAGGCUAAGUUUUCUUUUCUUUGGCAUUUUUUCAACGGCAGAAAAUUUUUGGUUCUUUUUUCACUCCCAUUAGUUGCCUUUGGAGCAAGUUGAUGGAAACAUUGGAGGAGUUUGUGAGGGCCAAUUUGUUGAGUUCUGCAAGUUUGGAUAGUGAGGCACCACACUAUUUUGGAUACACCACAUGCACUGCAGAACAUUUGUGUGGAACCCUCUUGUAGAAGGCAAGUUAUAUGCUUUCUAACUUUGUUUGGUCUAUGGACAUUUAGUUGGAUUUGUUUGCCACUGCUAUUUGGUUUGUUGGUCUCCAUCAUCUGCAAUUAGUUUUCUUGAAGACUCCAGUUGAGGUAUGGUUUUGGAUCUCCUGCUGAUUAUUUGAAUUUGAAAUUUUUGGUUGUCCUGUUGGUGCUCAUGUGAUGAUGGUAAACUUGAGUGGAGGGCAUAGUUUUUUUGUAUGUGGUAUGUUAGACCUUGUUGCCAAAUUUGUAAUCAGUUUUGACUUGGAGAAUAUGCCGUGCUAUUUGAAUGAGUCUAUUGAUGCAGUUUAAGACCAUGGUGUUUGUAAGCAGGUGGAGUUCGUUCUGUGUCCAACUUUGGUAUGGUGUGCUUGAUCUUUUGUUAGUGAUAUUGAAGAAUUUCAGUUCUUCGUUUGAAUCACUUUUGUUUUGAUCAAGGCACUUAUGGUUUGCAAAUUUGGAGAAUACGGUAGAGAAAUGGUCUACUUUUGUUGGCUUUGGUAUAAUUUGAGUCGAGGUGGAGAUCAUUAUGAGUACCGGAAAGUUUGGGGAAUUUGAUUUAGUUCCCGUUGUCUUUAGUUUGUACUUUGGGUGAUUAUGGUGAUUGUUGAUUCGAUUCUCUGUGAUGGUUUCGGAACUUGGCCAAGGUGGAGAUUGUUGAAUUGUGGCCAAGUGGCCAUCAUCGGCUAAUAAACAAACAAAAGAAAAGAAAAAGAAAGACAAAAUGAUGAGGAAACAUCAUGAUGAGGAGGCAUCAUGAUUAUGCUUUCUUCUUUUGUGGUUUUUUAAUAACCAUAAUUAUUGUUUGUUUAUUAGCCGAAAGGUGAUGGCCACUUGGCCACAAUUCAACAAUCUCCACCUUGGCCAAGUUCCGAAACCAUCACAGAGAAUCGAAUCAACAAUCACCAUAAUCACCCAAAGUACAAACUAAAGACAACGGGAACUAAAUCAAAUUCCCCAAACUUUCCGAUACUCAUAAUGAUCUCCACCUUGACUCAAAUUGUACCAAAGCCAACAAAAGUAGACCACUUCUCUACCGUCUUCUCCAAAUUUAAAUCCUAUGAAGAAAGGGAGAGCUCAUUUUUUAGAAGAAAGCAGAUUGAAGAGAGAAGAGGAGAGAGAAGGUAGAACCUUUUGGUUAUAAAAGGCAUUCGAUUAUGCCUUUGGAUGUGGGGAGAGCGGCAGAUGAGAGAGCACAGGGAGAGCAUUCGGCUCUCCCAUUUGAAUAUGAGUUGCUCCUUCCCACCAUUUGUAAUAAUCCAAUUUUGUUAGUAAUCACUCAAUCAAAGAUGUUGGUGCUACUUGUGUAGCUUUUGGGAGAGAAGGAUUUUGAUAUGUGUUUCUUCUUCUCCAUUUGUUUCUUAGUUUGAGUGAGAGCUAUUGGGUGUAUGUGGGAUUUGGGUUUGAGUGUUGAACUCUAUUUGUAAUCUUCUUUUGAUAUUAGUGGAAUUUCCUCGCCGUCUCGGAACUGGAUGUAGGCUUAUGCCGAACCAGUAUAAAAAUCCUUGUGUCUUUUGGAUUAUUUGUCUUGUCAUAUUUUGCCAUUAUUAGCUUUGGUUUCAUAUUUGAAGCUUCAGCAAUACAAACAGUACAAGAUCAAUGAAUUCCUAUGAAUGAAUAAACUAAAGAAAUCGAAGAAAGAGAAUAACGAGAGAGAAAAGCUUUUCAUUUAUAUUGCUCUAACAGAAAAUGAUUACAUGAUAAAAAUCUAAGUCUCCAAAACAAUAAUUAUAUAGAGACUAGAAUGAGCAGAAUCACAAUAUUGCCUUUCUAACUAAUUCUUAUCUUCUAACAACCUCAACACUCACAAGCUUGACACUUGUCAUUUCUUACAACCACUCCUAACAAAUCCUAACUGUUUAUCUGGUUAAUAUAACGGAUGGCCGACGACCGACACCGAGAUUUUCCCAAACCUUGGUCCUUACUCUCGUAUAAAUUCGAAACGAACAGUAAACAAUUUUCUCGCAAUCGGAAGCACGGCAAACAUGGAUCUGAGAGAAAGCAUCAUCAACCAAAACGACGUCGCAAGGAGGCUGACGAAGCAGCUGGUUCAGACCGAAGGCAAGCAGUCGAACCUCGUGUACUCGCCGCUGUCCAUCCACGUGGUGCUGAGCCUGAUCGCAGCCGGGUCAAAGGGUCCCACCCAGGAGCAGCUGCUCUCAUUCCUCAAGUCAGAGUCCACCGACCACCUCAACUCCUUCGCCUCCCAGCUCCUGCCCUUUAUCUUCUCCGAUGGGUCCCCCGUGGGCGGCCCCAAGCUGGCGUUUGCGAAUGGCGUUUGGGUGCAGAAGCCUCUCCCUCUGAAGCCUUCCUUCAAGCAGGUGGUGGAAGCUUCUUACAGGGCCGCUCUCGUCCUAGUUGAUUUUCAGACCAAUGUAAGCUCCCAAACCCUCUGUCAUGUCGUUUCGAUUGUUUUUGUCGAUGCUGCUCAUGAUCAAAGUCUUUGGUUGUAAUUUCAGACCAAUGUUUCAAUGUCGAUGCUGCUGAUGCUCUUUUGUUCGUUACUGUUUUUGGUUGUAAUUGAUCGAGAUAUGCAGGUUGAUAUCAUUGUUUUCUAACUUGUCGUAACUGUUGUUGGUGCUCAAGGCUGCUCAAGUGGAGUCGGAAGUGAAUUCAUGGGCUGAAAAGGAGACGAGCGGCCUUAUCAAGGAUCUACUUCCUCCCGGGUCACUUGACAGCUUCACCAGGCUCAUCUUUACCAAUGCAUUAUACUUCAAGGGAGCUUGGAAUGAGAAAUUUGAUGCAACAGCUACAAAAGAGCAUGACUUCCACCUUCUCGACGGGAGCACAGUUAAGGCGCCCUUCAUGACCAACAAGAACCAGCAGUAUGUAAGUGCCUUUGACGGUUUCUCAGUCUUAGGGCUUCCUUACAAACAAGGUGAAGACAAGCGGCGCUUCUCCAUGCACAUCUUUCUUCCACAGGAGAAAGAUGGGCUGCCAGCUUUGGUUGAGAAACUUGGCUCUGAGUCCGGGUUUUUAGAUCGCUAUCUUCCCAAACAACCAGUUGCAGUGGGCGACUUCAGAAUCCCAAAGUUUAAGAUCUCAUUUGGGUUUGAAGCUUCCAAUGUCCUAAAGAGUCUGGGACUGGUGCUGCCUUUCGUGGGUGGAGGUCUGACAGAGAUGGUGGACUCGCCCGAGGGUAAGAAGCUAUAUGUUUCCAACAUAUUCCACAAGUCGUUCAUCGAAGUGAAUGAAGAAGGCACAGAAGCUGCAGCUGCUUCUGCCGGCGUUAUAAGUGAUAGGAGGAUGCCCAUGACAUUUGUGGCUGAUCGUCCGUUCCUCUUCACGAUCAGGGAAGAAACGACCGGAACAGUUCUGUUCAUCGGUAACCUGCUCAACCCUCUUGCCGGCUGAGUGUUACAAUCCCCUGGGAAAAGGCAUCAUGUGUACGUAGAAUAAUACGAGAGUAUAGUAAAUAAAAUGUAUGAUCCUUGUAUACAUGUGCUAGGUUUGGUUAUUACCUAAUCACCCUGUACUUGCCGCAGUUGGUCUUGUUUCUCCCAUGUGGCGAUUGUUGCUCGUUCUCCCAUGGCGUUUAUCUAUUUGUACAAUCUUGAUUCUGAAUACUUAUUUUAUGUUGUACUCUGUUUGAACAAUUAAAGUUUUAGCCGACUGCAAACGUCGGUUAAGUGUUAAAGUAUUUGGACAGGGAUUGUCUGCUUUUUCAUUUUUCGUGUCCUUCUGUUUUGUGUGUUCACAGUUAAACUACGUCAAUAUUUUAUAUUAUUUUUUUAUAGAAAUAAUAAGAUAAAAAUAAAUAAUAAUAUAAAAUAUUAACGUGACUUAACUGUAACCACACAAACAGGAGGGCACGGAAGACCACCGGAAGUGGAAGAGCGGACAUUCUUGUCCAAAGUAUUUAAUAUAUAGAAUGUACGAGUGCUAGUGCUGUACCAUAUACAUGGUUGGUGAUGAAAAGGAUUAAACUAUGAAUAUUCUAUAAAAUAUUAUUUACCCUAGGACGAGGAUUUUCUUUGGAUCUUCUUUACGAGGAUCUUAGGAAUUAAUUCAUUUUAACGGUUUAUUGUACAUCGUACGGUCAACUUUCGUUAGAUACUUUUUAUGUUUAAUUUUAAAUAAAUUCAAAAUAAUUUUUCACUGCAUGAUGCAUUGAUUCCUAAAGCACUCGCAAAGAGACUCCAGAUGUUUAGUUCUCCAUGACUGGAGAUGGCCUAAGAUGCUAAACACUUAACACUAACCAAUUUUUCCGGUUAGUUAAAUUGUUUAAUAAAUGCUAUCCACACUCUAAAAUAAUUGACCAUAUUUUCUUGACUCUUUUGUUAGAUUGCAUGAAAUAUUGUUCGAGUAAAUAAUCUCUCAAGUAUCACUCAGACUUCAUAAUGAUUUUGAUUUUGAUUACAUAGUAAGCAUGUCAUUAAGGUCAAAUUUUGAACAAACACCCAAUUACAUAGCACGCAUGUUAUUAUGGUGUAUGCUCAUUGUCACUUUCAAAACUUGACACCUGUCUACUAACAUAACCGAUGGCCGACGACCGACACCUUCCCAAACCUUGGUCCUUACCCUCGUAUAAAUUCGAAACGAACAGUAAACAAUUUUCUCGCAAUCGGAAGCACGGCAAACAUGGAUCUGAGAGAAAGCAUCAUCAACCAAAACGACGUCGCAAGGAGGCUGACGAAGCAGCUGGUUCAGACCGAAGGCAAGCAGUUGAACCUCGUGUACUCGCCGCUGUCCAUCCACGUGGUGCUGAGCCUGAUCACAGCCGGGUCAAAGGGUCCCACCCAGGAGCAGCUGCUCUCAUUCCUCAAGUCAAAGUCCACCGAUCACCUCAACUCCUUCGCCUCCCAGCUAGUGUCCGUGAUCUUCUCCGAUGGGUCCCCCGUGGGCGGCCCCAAGCUGGCGUUUGCGAAUGGGCUUUGGGUGCACAAGCCUCUCACGCUGAAGCCUUCCUUCAAGCAGGUGGUGGACGCUUCUUACAAGGCAGCUCUCGCCCUAGUCGAUUUUCAGACUAAUGUAAGCUCCCAAACCCUCUGUCAUGUCGUUUCGAUAGUUUUUUUUUCAAUGCUGCUCAUGAUCAAAGUCCUGAAUUUUUUUUCCCGAUUUGAUUAGAGAUGUAUAAAUAUUUCCUAAAUUGCAGGCCUGCUGAUGCUCUUUUAUUCUUGUAGCAUUUCAACUAAAUAUUUCCUCUCUAAUCAUUACUGUUUGUGCUUGUUCUUGUGCAUAGCCGUUACGAAAUCGUAUCGAAGAUUUUUUUGUUCGUUACUGUUUGUGGUUAUAAUCUAGGUAUUAAAUAUUGAUAAUAUCGGAAAUAUCGGUAGUCCAGAAACACGGAAAUAUUGAUGGAAAUAUCGGGAUAUUAUCGAUAUGUAUAAAAAUAAUAUGGAAACCACGGAAAUUGUAAGAAAAACUUGGAAAUUUUUAUUGAAACUUUGCAGGAUGUUUAUUUAGUCAAUUAUCUAUUAGUUUAUCACAAAAUAUUGGAAGGAAAUGUAUUACAUAAUAGAUUUAACUGAUUUAAGUUGAUUAUAUAGCGAACUAGCGAACUACCAAACAUUAUGAGUUAGAAAAUAUGUAGUAAUUAAUAAAAGAAGUUUAAACACACAGUCACCGACUAUUAAAAAUUGUACAUGUAAAAGCUGUAAAAGUUGAAUUAUUUAGAUGCUUUUUUUUCUUACAUGCCACCCACACACACACACACACAGACUCUCACACGCCAACACACACGCACACACAGAUCACACACACAUCACACACACAGACAGAGACUGAGGUCUCUCUUUCUCGAUCCUUCUCUCUUCUCUCUCGAUCCUUCUCCCUUCUCUUCGACAGAGACUGAGGUCUAUCUCUCUCUCGAUCCUUCUCUCUUCUCUCCCUUCUCCAUUCUCCCACACACACACCCAGAUCUCUCGAUCUCUCUUCUCCCUUCUCCCACACACACGCACAGAGACCUCGCCCCUCCCCCCUCGUCAUCGUCUCCACCGCAAAUCUAGGUCUUUGAACGUAAAUUGCAGGCCUGCUGAUGCUCUUUUAUUCUUGUAGCAUUUCAACUAAAUAUUUCCUCUCUAAUCAUUACUGUUUGUGCUUGUUCUUGUGCAUAGCCGUUACGAAAUCAUAUCGAAGAUUUUUUGUUUGUUACUAUUUGUGGUUAUAAUCUAGGUAUUAAAUAUUGGUAAUAUCGGUAGUCCAGAAACACGGAAAUAUUGAUGGAAAUAUCGGGAUAUUAUCGAUAUGUAUAAAAAUAAUAUGGAAACCACGGAAAUUGUAAGAAAAACUUGAAAAUUUUUAUUGAAACUUUGCAGGAUGUUUAUUUAGUCAAUUAUCUAUUAGUUUAUCACAAAAAAAUUGGAAGGAAAUGCAUUGCAUGAUAGAUUUAACUGAUUUAAGUUGAUUAUAUAGCGAACUAGCGAACUAGCAAACAUUAUGAGUGUAGAAAAUAUGUAGUAAUUAAUGAAAGAAGUUUAAACACACAGUCACCGACUAUUAAAAAUUGUACAUGUAAAAGCUGUAAAAGUUGAAUUAUUUAGAUGUUUUUUUUUCUUACAUGCCAUCCACACACACACACACACACAGACUCUCACACGCCAACACACACCACGCAUACACAGAUCACACACACAGACAGAGACUGAGGUCUCUCUCUCUCGAUCCUUCUCUCUUCUCUCUCGAUCAUUCUCCAUUCUCUCUCGACCUAGACUGACUCUCUCUCUCUCUCUCUCUCUCUCUCUCUCUCUCUCUCUCUCUCUUUCCCACACACACACAGAUCUUUCGAUCUCUCUUCUCCCUUCUCCCACACACACGCACAGAGACAUCGUCCUUCGUCAUCGUCAUCGUCUCCCACACACACGCACAGAGACCUCGCCCCUCGUCAUCGUCUCCACCGCAAAUCUAGGUCUUUGAACGUAAAUUGCAGGCCUGCUGAUGCUCUUUUAUUCUUGUAGCAUUUCAACUAAAUAUUUCCUCUCUAAUCAUUACUGUUUGUGCUUGUUCUUGUGCAUAGCCGUUACGAAAUCGUAUCGAAGAUUUUUUGUUCAUUACUGUUUGUGGUUAUAAUCUAGGUAUUAAAUAUUGGUAAUAUCGGAAAUAUCGGUAGUCCAGAAACAUGGAAAUAUUGAUGGAAAUAUCGGGAUAUUAUCGAUAUGUAGAAAAAUAAUAUGGAAACCACAAAAAUUGUAAGAAAAACUUGAAAAUUGUUAUUGAAACUUUGCAGGAUGUUUAUUUAGUCAAUUAUAUAUUAGUUUAUCACAAAAAAUUGGAAGGAAAUGCAUUGCAUGAUAGAUUUAACUGAUUUAAGUUGAUUAUAUAGCGAGCUAGCAAACAUUAUGAGUAGAAAAUAUGUAGUAAUUAAUGAAAGAAGUUUAAACACACAGUCACAGACUAUUAAAAAUUGUACAUGUAAAAGCUGUAAAAGUUGAAUUAUUUAGAUACUUUUUUUUCUUACACGCCACCCACCCACACACACACACACACUCUCACACGCCAACACACACGCACACACAUACACACAUCACACACAGACAGAGACUGAGGUCUCUCUUUCUCGAUCCUUCUCUCUUCUCUCUCGAUCAUUCUCCCUUCUCUCCGACAGAGACUGAGGUCUCUCUCUCUCUCUCGAUCCUUCGCUCUUCUCUCCCUUCUCCAUUCUCCCACACACACACACAGAGAUCUCUCGAUCUCUCUUCUCCCUUCUCCCACACACACGCACAGAGACAUCGUCCCUUGUCAUCGUCAUCGUCUCCCACACACACAUACACAGACCUCGCCCCUCGCCCCUCGUCAUCGUCUCCAUCGCAGAUCUAGGUCUUUGAAUGUCAAAGUUUCGAGCGCACCUCAAAUCCAGGCAAUCUGAUUCUGACGCUGUAGUCGUCGCCGCCACCACCAACUUCCUAAGCCAAGAAUGGAGAACCUGAUCUCGUUGGUGAACAAAAUCCAGAGGGCUUGUACUACUCUAGGGGACUAUGGCGAAGGUAGUGCAUUCGUCGUCGCCGUCGUCGCCAUCGCCGUCAGUGGUCAGAUCAACUCCCGGUCCCUCACCUUCUUACCUCUUCGAUUGAUUCAUGCAUAUGAAUUGUGGUUGUGUUUUCAAUCGCUCUGUAGCUUAGAUCUUGAUCUUAAUCAUGUUUUUGCAAGGUUUUUGGGAUGAAAUCGGCUCGGGAAUCGGCACACCCAUUUCCGGCGUUCUUCUCCGAGUAGCCAGUUCCAAAAAUAUCGUGAUAAUUUCGGAAAUAUUACGAUAUUAUCGAUAGUAUAGCUAUAUUUUGACGAAAACCCUUUGGAUACCUAUUAAAAUAUCGGUCCGGCGAAAAACCGAUAAUAUCGACGAUAUAUUGGCGAUUUUGUUCCUUGGUUAUAAUUGAUCGAGAUAUGCAGGCUGAUAUCAUUGUUUUCUAACUUGUCGUAACUGUUGUUGGUGCUCAAGGCUGCUCAAGUGGCGUCGGGAGUGAAUUCAUGGGCUGAAAAGGAGACGAGCGGCCUUAUCAAGGAUCUACUUCCUCCCAGGUCACUUGACAGCUCAACCAGGCUCAUCUUUACGAAUGCAUUGUACUUCAAAGGAGCUUGGACUGAGAAAUUUGAUGCAUCAGCUACAAAAGAGCAUGACUUCCACCUUCUCGACGGGAGCACAGUUAAGGCGCCCUUCAUGACCAGCAAGAGGAAGCAGUAUGUAAGUGCCUUUGACGGUUUCUCAGUCUUAGGGCUUCCUUACAAACAAGUUGAAGACAAGCGGCGCUUCUCCGUGCACAUCUUUCUUCC